rnacentral:sRNA from 1 species
UAAAGCCCGUCUUGUGGCUCAAGGUUUCUGCCAGCAACCUGGUCUCAAUUAUGAGGCCACGUUCGCCCCCGCCAGCCGAUCUACCACCUUUCGACUUCUCAUGACACUCGCCGCGACAUACGACCUCGAGCUACACCAGGCAGACGUCGAGGGAGCAUACCUCAAUGGUGAUCUCGACCGCGAUAUUUUUAUGCGCGUUCCCAAAGGGUACACCCAUCAGAACCCUGGAACCACCGCACUUAAGCUCAUAAAACAAUUUACGGACUCAAGCAGUCCGGUCGUGAGCGGUGGAAAGUCUUAGGAGCUGCCCUGGAGGAAAUCGGAUUCAAGAGAUGCGAGAGCGAAUGGGGUCCAUACGUAUUCAACGGGCGGAACGGUCCAGAAGUAUUGCUGCUCGUUUACGUCGACGACCUCGUCAUAGCAGCGAAAAGUCUAGCCCAAGUCAAAGAUAUACUCGCAAAAUUAUCCACUCGUUGGACCCUCAGUCAUCUUGGUUCCAUCGAUCAUGUUCUAGGCAUGAAGAUCAAACUCGACCGAGCCAAACGCAUCAUUCAUGUCGCUCAAAUCUCCUGCAUUGAUACUCUCCUUGACCGUUUUCCCCGAUACAAGGCAAAUCUCGCGCGCUACGCGACCCUUCCGAAAAAGAUCGAGAAGUCCUCUGACACGGAAAGCCCUCUAUCCAUCCGCGUGUCAGCCCUAUCAAGCCCUUAUGGGAACGUUGCUUUGGUUAGCCGGAUCGACCCGACCCGACAUCGCCUUUAGUCUCCUUUCUGUCCCAAGCCAUUUCCGGCCCCACAGAAUAUCAUUGGCAGUUCUCGUCCGCGUCGUCGCUUAUCUUUCCCACGUCCGCCCCUCGGUGGAGGGAAGGAGAGGGGCCUACAUGUAUACUCCGACGCAGACUGGGCGGGAUGCUCAGACACCCGAAGAUCCACAACCGGUUACAUUGUCUACUUUCACGGCUCCCAGGUGAGCUGGUGUUCGCGCCGCCAGCGCACCGUAGCGCACUCCACCAUGGAAGCGGAGUAUAUUGCUGCAGCACAAGCCACUCGCGAGAUUAUCUGGCUUCAAGGUUUAUUGAAGGAAACCGGUCUGUCGCAGGUGGAUCCCACAACUCUACAUAUCGACAACUAGUCAGCCAUUUGCCUCUUCUACAACCCACUCUCCCACGAGAAGUCCAAACAUAUCGAUAUUCGAUAUCAUAUCAUUAGAGAGAGGGUCGAAAAUUUGGAGAUAAAACUGGUGUACAUCCCAUCCCGACUGAAAAGCAACGAGCAGAUGUGCCCGCUAAGGCUUUAGAUGGAGUAAAUCACGGAAAGGCGGUUAAGGCGUUGCGCCGUACCGGGGAGGGGACCGAAAAGGAGGAUUACGAGUAAGGGGAGAAUAGGAGAAACACCGGAUGAAAGGUAUAACCAUGGACGGACGGUUUGUUAAGAUGGGCGGCGUUAGAGGAGUGUCGAAAUGUGCCUACAUAAUGUAACCCCCCCUUCACUUAACAUAACAUAGAAAUUGCCAUAGGUUUCUUUCGAUGCCUGGGGUGCAUAGUUGUUUCUGCAUACUCUCUAUAGCUCUCAAAUUAAGCAAUUUCCAACAUCGUGCUUCUUC